GACGAACGCUGGCGGCGUGCUUAACACAUGCAAGUCGAACGAAGUGGCGAACGGGUGAGUAAUACGUGAGUAACCUGCCAUCCUUUUUGGGAUAAGCCUUGGAAACGGGGUCUAAUACCGAAUACAGGGGGAUGGGCUCGCGGCCUAUCAGCUUGUUGGUGGGUUGAUGGCCUACCAAGGCGGUGACGGGUAGCCGGCCUGAGCGGGUGCCCGGCCACAUUGGGACUGAGAUACGGCCCAUACUCCUACGGGAGGCAGCAGUGGGGAAUAUUGCACCAUGGGGGAAACCCUGAUGCAGCAACGCCGCGUGCGGGAUGACGGCCUUCGGGUUGUAAACCGCUUUCAGCCAUUACGCGUUAGUGGCAGAAGAAGCACCGGCUAACUACGUGCCAGCAGCCGCGGUAAUAC
rnacentral:rRNA from 1 species